rnacentral:rRNA from 1 species
AGCUGGCCUCUCGGGGCAUGUGCACACCUGGCUCAUCCACUCUUCAACCUCUGUGCACUUGUUGUAGGUCGGCAGAAGGGCGAGUCUAACAGCUCGCUUGGAAGCCUUCCUAUGUUUUACUACAAACGCUUCAGUUUAAGAAUGUAACCUUGCGUAUAACGCAUCUUUAUACAACUUUCAGCAACGGAUCUCUUGGCUCUCGCAUCGAUGAAGAACGCAGCGAAAUGCGAUAAGUAAUGUGAAUUGCAGAAUUCAGUGAAUCAUCGAAUCUUUGAACGCACCUUGCGCUCCCUGGUAUUCCGGGGAGCAUGCCUGUUUGAGUGUCAUGGUAUUCUCAUCCUUCAUAACUUUUGUUAUCGAAGGCAUGGACUUGGAGGUCGUGCUGGUUCCUCGUUGAAUCGGCUCCUCUUAAAUGUAUUAGCGUGAGUGUAACGGAUCGCUUCGGUGUGAUAAUUAUCUGCGCCGUGGUCGUGAAGUAACAUAAGCUUGCGCUUCUAACCGUCCUUAAGUUGGACAAAUUACUUUGACAUCUGACCUCAAAUCAGGUAGGACUACCCGCUGAACUUAAGCAUAUCAAUAAGCGGAGGAAAAGAAACUAACAAGGAUUCCCCUAGUAACUGCGAGUGAACCGGGAAAAGCUCAAAUUUAAAAUCUGGCAGCCUUGGCUGUCCGAGNUUGUAAUCUGGAGAAGCGUCUUCCGCGCUGGACCGUGUACAAGUCUCCUGGAACGGAGCGUCAUAGAGGGUGAGAAUCCCGUCUUUGACACGGACUACCAGUGCUCUGUGAUGCGCUCUCAAAGAGU